ACCUGAAGACCCUGGAUUGCCUUAGAUGCAGUUGUCUAAGGAUUUCCCUUAAACAAUUUUCCUUCCAAGGACCUUAAAGCACGAUGUGCUACCCAGGAUUUUCCACUCCCAGAUCAGAAGUCUAAUAAAGCCCCCAGAGUGGUUGCCUGCAAUGAGUCCCUUGGGAACUUAUAAGGAUGGCAAUGUGUCACUUCACACUAGAGCAAGAGAAGAGCAGGAAUUCUUUCCCUUAAUGACUGUAGUUCUGUGAAUUGCAGUGUGUGAACUCAGCUGGACCUUGGAUGACAGACUUUCCUAAAAAUGUCCUUUUGGUAUUGUGGCAAAUUCAGACAAUUCAAGGUUGUUCUCUUUGUUUACAAGACAAAUAGUGAAAAUGAAGUGUUUGCCUUGGAGCCACCCCAUGCCUGGAGAGCAGUGACCCUGCAAACCAUUGUUGUGUGCAAGGCUCAGGAGUCCGGAUCUCACACAGCCCCGUGCCUCAGUGUCACUGUGGGACCCUCCUGGGACUCCUCUUGCUCUCCUCAUCCACUUGCUCAGAGCACAGAAUUAAGAAAAAGGAAUCAAGUUUCUGUUGGCUUUCCCAUUAGAGAUGGUUUCUGA
rnacentral:lncRNA from 1 species